rnacentral:rRNA from 1 species
AUUGAACGCUGGCGGCAGGCCUAACACAUGCAAGUCGAACGAGUGGCGGACGGGUGAGUAAUGUCUGGGAAACUGCCUGAUGGAGGGGGAUAACUACUGGAAACGUUAGCUAAUACCGCAUAACAUCAUAUGUGCCCAGAUGGGAUUAGCUAGUUGGUGGGGUAACGGCUCACCAAGGCGACGAUCCCUAGCUGGUCUGAGAGGAUGACCAGACACAAGGGAACUGAGACACGGUCAAGACUCCUACGGGAGGCAGCAGUGGGGAAUAUUGGACAAUGGGCGCAAGUCUGAUGGAGCAACGCCGCGUGAGUGAAGAAGGUCUUCGGAUCGUAAAGUUCUUUCGUCGGGGAGGCGGUACCUUCAGAGGAAGCAACGGCUAACUACGUGCCAGCAGCCGCGGUAAUAC